UACGUAGGGGGCAAGCGUUGUCCGGAAUUAUUGGGCGUAAAGAGCUCGUAGGCGGUUUGUCGCGUCUGCUGUGAAAUCCCAGGGCUUAACCCUGGGCCUGCAGUGGGUACGGGCAAACUAGAGUGCGGUAGGGGAGAUCGGAAUUCCUGGUGUAGCGGUGAAAUGCGCAGAUAUCAGGAGGAACACCGGUGGCGAAGGCGGAUCUCUGGGCCGUAACUGACGCUGAGGAGCGAAAGCAUGGGUAGCGAACAGG
rnacentral:rRNA from 1 species